GUCAGGAUGGCCGAGUGGUCUAAGGUGCCAGAUUCAAGCUCUGGUCCACAAAUGUGGGCGUGGGUUCGAAUCCCACUUCUGGCC
rnacentral:tRNA from 1 species